rnacentral:rRNA from 1 species
GCCAGACUCCUACGGGAGGCAGCAGUGAGGAAUAUUGGUCAAUGGGCGAGAGCCUGAGCCAGCCAAGUCGCGUGAGGGAGUACUGCCCUAUGGGUUGUAAACCUCUUUUGUCGGGGAGCAAAAGCCGGACGUGUCCGGCUGUGAGAGUACCCGAAGAAAAAGCAUCGGCUAACUCCGUGCCAGCAGCCGCGGUAAUACGGAGGAUGCGAGCGUUAUCCGGAUUUAUUGGGUUUAAAGGGUGCGCAGGCGGAUUUUUAAGUCAGCGGUAAAAUCGUGGGGCUCAACCCCAUCCAGCCGUUGAAACUGGGGAUCUAGAGUGUGCGAGAGGUAUGCGGAAUGCGUGGUGUAGCGGUGAAAUGCAUAGAUAUCACGCAGAACCCCGAUUGCGAAGGCAGCAUACCGGUGCACAACUGACGCUGAGGCACGAAAGCGUGGGGAUCGAACAGGAUUAGAUACCCCUGUA